UAUUCUUUUAUAUUGUCUGGGUGCCCCAC
rnacentral:piRNA from 1 species